UACAGAGGGUGCGAGCGUUGUCCGGAAUCACUGGGCGUAAAGGGCGCGUAGGCGGGCGAUCAAGCGUGCGGUGAAAGCUCGGGGCUCAACUCCGAGUCGGCCGUGCGAACUGGUUGUCUAGAGUCUGGUAGAGGUCGAUGGAAUUCCGGGUGUAGCGGUGGAAUGCGUAGAGAUCCGGAAGAACACCGGGUGGCGAAGGCGGUCGACUGGGCCAGUACUGACGCUGAUGCGCGACAGCGUGGGGGAGCAAAC
rnacentral:rRNA from 1 species